CCCCACUGUCCAUUUUCACACAGAGGAGCAGAAACAACUGAACUAAGAACAUUUCCCACUGCUCAGCAUUUGACUCUAACUACUCAGGGAUGGAACGAGGACUGAUCCUGUUGGUGGCGGCACUGAUGGUCUAUGUGGCACCAGGUGUCCAAGGAACGUCUCAUUUGUCAUUUGCCAAUAAUACAGAGGUGAACAUCAGUCGGACUGGUUGUGGAGUCACUAAACUGUGUGUGGAGACCCCAGAUAACUGUGAUCCUAGUGGAAACAAAUGUCUGGUUUGUCGUCUGUGUCGCUAAAACAACAGCUCA